rnacentral:rRNA from 1 species
UACGAAGGGGGCUAGCGUUGCUCGGAAUCACUGGGCGUAAAGCGCACGUAGGCGGACUCUUAAGUCGGUGGUGAAAUCCUGGAGCUCAACUCCAGAACUGCCUUCGAUACUGAGAGUCUCGAGUCCGGGAGAGGUGAGUGGAACUGCGAGUGUAGAGGUGAAAUUCGUAGAUAUUGGGAGGAACACCAGUGGCGAAGGCGGCUCACUGGACCGGUUCUGACGCUGAGGCACGAAAGCGUGGGAGCAAACAGG